rnacentral:rRNA from 1 species
CAGUAGCCGCGGGAAUACGGAGGGUGCAAGCGUUAAUCGGAAUUACUGGGCGUAAAGCGCACGCAGGCGGUCUGACAAGUCAGAUGUGAAAUCCCCGGGCUUAACCUGGGAACUGCAUUUGAAACUGGCAGGCUAGAGUCUUGUAGAGGGGGGUAGAAUUCCAGGUGUAGCGGUGAAAUGCGUAGAGAUCUGGAGGAAUACCGGUGGCGAAGGCGGCCCCCUGGACAAAGACUGACGCUCAGGUGCGAAAGCGUGGGGAGCAAACAGGAUUAGAUACCCCUGUAGUCCCUGUCUCUUAUAC